rnacentral:lncRNA from 1 species
UUUCCACUUCCACUCCGAGAUUAAUAAUGACUGAAGGAGCCCGCCUAAGUGUUGAUGUUUUGUUUUGACCUGCUGACACACUAGACACUUGGAAACAAACUCGGCUAUCUCUCUUUUCAUCUUGUUCUACCAAAAUCAGAAUCACAUACUUUGAUACAUUUUGGUGCUUCCGGGAUGCAUGGUAAAUUUUGAGCUAUGAGCCUCUAUCAUAAUGUCCUUUUUUAGUUCACUGUCACCUAGAGCACACACCCUGUCCUGAAAUCUGAGCAACCCAUCG